GCUGGUGUAGCUCAACAGGCAGAGCAGCUGAUUUGUAAUCAGCAGGUCGCGGGUUCGAAUCCCAUCACCAGCUCCA
rnacentral:tRNA from 2 species